GAUUCAUAAUAACUUCUCGAAUCGCAUGGCCUUGUGCCGGUGAUGCUUCAUUCAAAUAUCUGCCCUAUCAAUUUUCGAUGGUAAGAUAGAGGCCUACCAUGGUUUCAACGGGUAACGGGGAAUAAGGGUUCUAUUCCAGAGAGGGAGCCAGAAAAACGGCUACCACCUCCAAGGAAGGCAGCAGGCGCGCAAAUUACCCAAUCCCGACACGGGGAGGUAGUGACAAUAAAUAACAAUAUAGGGCUCUUUUGGGUCUUAUAAUUGGAAUGAAUACAACUUAAAUCCCUUAACGAAGAACAAUUGGAGGGCAAGUCUGGUGCCAGCACCCGCGGUAAUUCCAGCUCCAAUAGCGUAUAUUAAAGUUGUUGCAGUUAAAAAGCUCGUAGUUGAACUUCAUCUCUGGCCGGGCGGUCUGCCUCACGGUAUGUACUGUCUGGCUGGGGCUUACCUUCUGGUGAGCUUGCAUGUCGUUCAUUCGGUGUGCGGGGGAACCAGGACUUUUAC
rnacentral:rRNA from 1 species